UCCUACGGGAGGCAGCAGUGGGGAAUAUUGCACAAUGGGGGAAACCCUGAUGCAGCGACGCCGCGUGAGUGAAGAAGUAUCUCGGUACGUAAAGCUCUAUCAGCAGGGAAGAAAAAAAGUCUUUGGCUUUGGACGGUACCUGACUAAGAAGCCCCGGCUAACUACGUGCCAGCAGCCGCGGUAAUACGUAGGGGGCAAGCGUUAUCCGGAUUUAUUGGGUUUAAAGGGUGCGCAGGCGGACCAUCGAGUCAGCGGUAAAAUCGUGGGGCCCAACCCCAUCCCGCCGUUGAAACUGGCGGUCUUGG
rnacentral:rRNA from 1 species